GACGAACGCUGGCGGCGUGCCUAAUACAUGCAAGUCGAGCGGAUGACGGAGGAGCUUGCUCCUCCUGAUUCAGCGGCGGACGGGUGAGUAACACGUGGGCAACCUGCCCUGUAGAUUGGGAUAACUCCGGGAAACCGGGGCUAAUACCGAAUAAUCCUUCGGACCUCAUGGUCCGAUGUUGAAAGACGGUUUCGGCUGGCACUACAGGAUGGGCCCGCGGCGCAUUAGCUAGUUGGUGAGGUAACGGCUCACCAAGGCCACGAUGCGUAGCCGACCUGAGAGGGUGAUCGGCCACACUGGGACUGAGACACGGCCCAGACUCCUACGGGAGGCAGCAGUAGGGAAUCUUCCACAAUGGACGAAAGUCUGAUGGAGCAACGCCGCGUGAGUGAAGAAGGUUCUCGGAUCGUAAAACUCUGUUGUGAGGGAAGAACAAGUACCGGAGUAACUGCCGGUGCCUUGACGGUACCUCAUUAGAAAGCCACGGCUAACUACGUGCCAGCCGCCGCCGUAA
rnacentral:rRNA from 1 species